rnacentral:rRNA from 1 species
UCCCAAAAAUAAACGUACUCAGUUCGGACUGUAGUCUGCAACCCGACUACACGAAGCUGGAAUCGCUAGUAAUCGCGAAUCAGAAUGUCGCGGUGAAUACGUUCCCGGGUCUUGUACACACCGCCCGUCACACCAUGGGAGUCGGGAAUGCCGAAGCCGGUGACCUAACCGAAAGGAAGGAGCCGUCGAAGGCAGGUCUGAAUAACUGGGGUGAAGUCGUAACAAGGUAUC